rnacentral:rRNA from 1 species
UACGUAGGAGACGAGCGUUGUCCGGAAUUACUGGGCGUAAAGCGCGUGUAGGCGGAUGGGCAAGUCUGCUGUGAAAGCUCCUGGCUUAACCGGGAGUGGUCGGUGGAAACUGCCAAUCUGGAGGACGGUAGAGGUAGGUAGAAUUCCCGGUGUAGUGGUGAAAUGCGUAGAGAUCGGGAGGAAUACCUGUGGCGAAGGCGGCCUACUGGGCCGGACCUGACGCUGAGACGCGAAGGCGUGGGGAGCGAGCGGG